UUUGUAAGGUAAGACAUUUAUUUUGGUUACAACUUUUUAUAGUGCAUUAACACUAGUGGUACACUAGAUGCUAAACUUUCCUUUUCCUCCCGGACAACAGGACCUCCCAUGCCAGGCAGGUGACAGUGCUCUGCCUCACCCCACCAUCCCCUGACCUCUGAACCUCUUCGGUCCACUGAAUCGCUUUUUACAAGUUAACCUAACAGCUGGCAGAGGAAAGAGGAACACAAGUUAAAUAUCCAACCACUCUCUCUACGCUAUGAUCAGGAUAAAGCCUGUAAAAGAAUUAUGAAAAAGACAAUUUCCUGUGAGAAAAUCUCUUACCUUCAUAUUAUAAGAUCAGUGCUUAUCUUGAUUAAAACAUUUAGCAUCUUAAAUACUAUGAGCAACUUAAGAGUGCUGGAGCCCAGAAGAGCCUUAGUGUGGGCCAAGAGUUCCCUCAUUUGAUAAGUGUUAGUCUGUGCUCUCAAGAUAAUAGAACAGCAAAGAAACAGACGUACCCCUGGAAAAGGCAGACAGACUCUAGAAGAUUGAGAAGAGAAAACAUUUUUACAUUUGUGAUUUUUACCUGGAUUUUUAUAAGUCACAGAAAGUGGCUGGGCCUGA
rnacentral:lncRNA from 1 species